rnacentral:tRNA from 1 species
GGGGUUAUGGUUUAGCUUGGUAGAAUUUGUGGUUAGGGACCGCAAGGCCUGGGUUCAAAUCCCAGUAACCCCA